UUACGACUCUAACAAAGAUAAAUGAAAACCUUUGUGCAGGUAACUGUCUUUGCUGUUGGAGAGACGACUGGGUUGGCUGGUUGGAUAAAUGAUUGCAUACAUGCAAGAUGAAUGAAUGCAUGUUAUGGACUUUAAGUUGGAUUUAACAAAUCCAUAUACAUUUUCAGUACAGUUUAAAUGAGCCUCUGUUAAAUUGUGUACUUUUCUUUUUAAAAACAUAUUUUGAGAACUGUAUGUCCAUCCGUUGUCUAUAGUUCACGUUGAGUUGCAAUAAAUGCAGACCUCUG